rnacentral:lncRNA from 1 species
AAUAGACAAAGGUAAUACGAUAUUUUUAUAGAUGAUAUUAUUUUUUAAAUUGUAUUAUUAAAAUUCAGAACUAAAAUAUGUAAAAAAAAAAUUAUAUUCAAACAUUGGACAAGGUCUGUACUGUACCUGGAAAAUCUGGAAAAUAUGUUAAUAUUGGCCAAAGUGGUGGAAAACCUAAAAAAGUCAAGGAAUUAUUUUUUUUUUUUAGAUAGUCAUGGAAAAGUCAGUAAUUCUAGUUAAGAAGUUACUCAUUUUGUAAUUGAACGCUGUAUUUUGAAAACGUGAAGAGUCACAAUUUUUAAAAUUGAGAUAAAGUUGUAUCCUUGAAAGAUAUGCUGGUAUUAUUGGCACAAUGGGCAAGCAAUGAAGUGCAACUUGGUGAACUACUAAAUACAUCAAAUUCAGUUAUAAAAAUUUGAGUAUCAAAGGUAUGCUAAUUGUUGUAUUGCCUGAAAGAGUGUCAUUGCCAUUAAAAGCAGUGAAGAAUUCAAGUACUCUGGAAGAAAAAAGACAAGAAAACACUUCAGUAAAUGGCUGUGUAUUUUUGCAAGUUAAUUAUUUGGCACAAAUUGGAGUUAAAGGCGAAGGAGAUUGUGUGUGUUAUUUACUAAGAAUAGUUUAUUAAAAUGGCCUAGCUGUAAAAUUAAAUUAUGCAGGGAGAGGAUAAAAAAUUGGAAUAGGAAAAAUGUUGAUUGCAUAUGCUGCUUUUGAAACUUUGAAGUCAAUUAAGCAUGGCUUAUGCAGACAUGUGAUAGAGAUAGCGGAAGAAAAAUAAUAAUCGUGGACACCAAAUAUCAUAAGCUAAACACGAUUCAAUAACAAGUAGCUCAGUCAAUAUCGAAACUACUCUAUAAAUUUUAUAGUGAAUUUUUUUAUUUAAAACUCAAUAUGUCAGUUUUUGGUAUAAGUUUCGUGUUUGCAAUAUGUAUAUUUAACCGAGAAAUUAUGUUUAAUAAAUAAAUAUUUAUACUUGUAUAA